GCGGGGAGUACGUGAAGUCGCUGAGCCAACCUCCGGGAGGCAGGCGCCGAGCGUAAGCUCCGUGAUUGGGACUAAGUCGUAACAAGGUAGCCGUAGGUGAACCUGCAGAAGGAUCA
rnacentral:rRNA from 1 species